GCAGGCACCCUGGAUUGCCUGCCCAAAUGACUCCCCAUGCCCAUUCUUGCCGGCAGAGUUCCCCUUUUAUUCAGCAUACUCCCUGUAGUCUUCCGAGAGCCAGUGGGUGGGGCAUUUCCCCAGAUGGAAGGUGAGCUGUGCCCCGAAUCCCAUAGCCCUGUCUGUCCUUGUAAUUGAAGCCAGCGUGGCAUCCGGAACUGGUCCAUGAGAUGAAGGAGGCAUCCACCAGGACUGGGGAAAAUCUGCCAGGCUCUUCAAAGGCGUCAACCGGGGUAAACAAAACGUGGUCUACCUAGACAGUGGGAUCUUAUUCGGUCAUGACAAGGAAUGAUAUCUGCUGUAACAGGGUGAACUUGAAAACAGUAUGCCGAGUGAAAGAAGCCAGACGUGAAAGCAGCCUCCUAUACGGUUCCACUUACAUGGAAUAGACAGAUGUACAGCAAAAUGAUUCAGGGAUACAUACACCUACGUUGUGUGUGUGUUACUGCAGCCGGAGGUGGGAGAGAACCAAGAGGAAGCAGGUGUUUUCCGGCUGUCCCUGCAGCGGUGAAGGGCAGCCACGUGAUCCUGGGCACACACUGGACUCCACUCUGGUGACCCAGGGUGGUUGAGCGCAGGAGCAAGGCCCUGAGCCGUCACACUCAGUUCUGGAACACCCCACCUCUGGGUUUCCUACUAUGGAAGGAACUGGUUCUAGGAGUGUGAUGGUCUGGAAGAUCAGCAGUGAACAGAAAGGAAGAAAAGCUGGUCUGAGAGGAGAUGAUAAGAGACCAGUGGAGUCCUGCUGUGGCUGAUAAACCUGCCCUUGAAGGAUUUUUGGAGCAGCUCAUUUUGCCCGGAAGGGGCCAGGGAAACACGUAAAGUUCCCAGGAGGCAUGAGUUCACCUUGUUGUAUGAGCCUGAUUUCACAGUUCAGAGGGCUUUCUGACACUAACCUAGUUGAGAUGCUCAGUUACUCCCUGCCCGGUUGCACUUAAAUUUUAUA